CCAGACUCCUACGGGAGGCAGCAGUCGGGAAUAUUGCGCAAUGGAGGAAACUCUGACGCAGUGACGCCGCGUAUAGGAAGAAGUUUUUCGGAAUGUAAACUAUUGUCGUUAGGGAAGAGAAAGGACAGUACCUAAGGAGGAAGCUCCGGCUAACUACGUGCCAGCAGCCGCGGUAAUACGUAGGGAGCGAGCGUUAUCCGGAUUUACUGGGUGUAAAGGGCGCGUAGGCGGGAUGGCAAGCCAGAUGUGAAAUCCAAGGGCUCAACCCUUGAACUGCAUUUGAAACUGUCGUUCUUGAGUACUGGAGAGGUUGACGGAAUUCCUAGUGUAGCGGUGAAAUGCGUAGAUAUUAGGAGGAACACCAGUGGCGAAGGCGGUCAACUGGACAGCAACUGACGCUGAGGCGCGAAAGCGUGGGGAGCAAACAGGAUUAGAUACCCGAGUAUA
rnacentral:rRNA from 1 species